AAGCGGAGGAAAAGAAACCAACUGGGAUUACCUUAGUAACGGCGAGUGAAGCGGUAAAAGCUCAAAUUUGAAAUCUGGUACUUUCAGUGCCCGAGUUGUAAUUUGUAGAAUUUGUCUUUGAUUAGGUCCUUGUCUAUGUUCCUUGGAACAGGACGUCAUAGAGGGUGAGAAUCCCGUUUGGCGAGGAUACCUUUUCUCUGUAAGACUUUUUCGAAGAGUCGAGUUGUUUGGGAAUGCAGCUCAAAGUGGGUGGUAAAUUCCAUCUAAAGCUAAAUAUUGGCGAGAGACCGAUAGCGAACAAGUACAGUGAUGGAAAGAUGAAAAGAACUUUGAAAAGAGAGUGAAAAAGUACGUGAAAUUGUUGAAAGGGAAGGGCAUUUGAUCAGACAUGGUGUUUUUUGCAUGCACUCGCCUCUCGUGGGCUUGGGCCUCUCAAAAAUUUCACUGGGCCAACAUCAAUUCUGGCAGCAGGAUAAAUCAUUAAGAACGUAGCUACCUCGGUAGUGUUAUAGCUUUUUGGAAUACUGCUAGCUGGGAUUGAGGACUGCGCUUCGGCAAGGAUGUUGGCAUAAUGGUUAAAUGCCGCCCGUCUUGA
rnacentral:rRNA from 1 species